rnacentral:rRNA from 1 species
GCUUGCUGCUUCGCUGACGAGUGGCGGACGGGUGAGUAAUGUCUGGGAAACUGCCUGAUGGAGGGGGAUAACUACUGGAAACGGUGGCUAAUACCGCAUAACGUCGCAAGACCAAAGAGGGGGACCUUCGGGCCUCUUGCCAUCAGAUGUGCCCAGAUGGGAUUAGCUAGUUGGUGAGGUAACGGCUCACCAAGGCGACGAUCCCUAGCUGGUCUGAGAGGAUGACCAGCCACACUGGAACUGAGACACGGUCCAGACUCCUACGGGAGGCAGCAGUGGGGAAUAUUGCACAAUGGGCGCAAGCCUGAUGCAGCCAUGCCGCGUGUAUGAAGAAGGCCUUCGGGUUGUAAAGUACUUUCAGCGGGGAGGAAGGUGUUG